CCUGCCUCAUAGACUGGGACAACUAUUGGAAACGAUAGCUAAUACCGGAUAACAGCAUUAACUGCAUGGUUGAUGUUUAAAAGUUGGUUUUGCUAACACUAUGAGAUGGCUUUGCGGUGCAUUAGCUAGUUGGUGGGGUAAAGGCCUACCAAGGCGACGAUGCAUAGCCGACCUGAGAGGGUGAUCGGCCACACUGGGACUGAGACACGGCCCAGACUCCUACGGGAGGCAGCAGCG
rnacentral:rRNA from 1 species